CUCCUCCCCCUCCCUCCCCAGCUAUUCGCGCCGCUGCUCUGCGCUCGGCGCGUCCCGCUCGCGGCGUUUCUCGGAUGGAAUAGACCGAGGGUUUCCUGGCCGCGCCCCCUCCUCCUCCUCUCCCCCACGCUCGAUUUGUGUCGGAUUUUCGCGUGCUUCACUGAUUUGGCCGUAUGAUUUCUGGGUGUUUGCUCCGACGGGAUCCGCCGAGACAAUGACUUCAAGCAGAUCGUGACGACGCUGCGCCACAUCAAGGACAAGGCUCACAAGGACGGCCAGAAGAAGACCGAGCAGGCCAUCUCCAGGGUUCAGUGGCUACGAGUACCUGGAGUCCUGAACCUGCUGCCUGCCCUGAAUCCAAACCUUCUGCAUGCCCUGUAUCUGAACCUGCUGUAGGCCCUGUAUCCGAGCCUGAUGUAUGCACUGUAUCUGAACCUGCUGUAUGCACUGUAUCUGAAUUUAGGCUUCAGGAGUCUGUAAUUGGAUGUGAACUAGGAAUUACCAGUGUCAUGUUGUUUGUGAACGAUCAGGUGAUGAUUGAAGUAGUAGGUACCAAUGCAAUGACAGGGCUUAGAAGUGUUGCGUGCACCUUUUGGUUUAGCAUGAUUUAUCCACCUUGUUCAGAGUGAACCAUAGCUAGUUUUUUUUUAUCGAAUAUAUGCAUCGCAUCCACCUCCCCAUUUUGUCCAUGUCUCACUCUCAAAAUAGCCUGCAAAGACUUGGGGGUUAUAUUAUUAUUUCUGUUUACUGCAUUGCAUUUAGAUAUUGGAAGUCUAUGUUCGCAUCACCAAAGUAGCAGGACAGCACCCCGUUGUUGUCAGGUUGUUUGUGACUGCUUAGGUCUCGUAUGUAAUUUCUCGCCAGUAGAUCCUAAACUAGCAAGGCGACAUUUUAGGCACAUUGCAAUGUUGUGGCAGUUGAUCAUAAACUUAUGGGAGAUUUGUUCCCUUCAAUGGUAUGAUUUUGCAGUUAUGAGUGUUAUCAGUGCUUCUAGCCUGCUGUAUGCCUGUACCUGAAUUUAGGUUCCAGAAGUCUGUAAUUGGAUGAGAACUAGGAUUUACGAGUGUUAUAUUGUUUGUGAAAGUUCGAGUGACCAUAUGAUGAUUGGAGUAGUGGGUAUGGUAGAUGCAACGAUAGGACUUGAAAGUGCUGCGUGCACCGGUUGGUUUAAGACGAUUUAUCCACCUUCUUUGUGGAACUAUAGCUAGUUAUUUUGAUAGAAUAUAUGUAUUCCGCCUUCCCAUUUUGUUCUUGGCUCACUCUCACAAUGGCCUGCAAAGACUUGGGAGUUAUGUAAGGGUUUCUGUUUACUGUAUUGCAUUUAUAUAUUGGAAAUCUAUGUUUGCAUCACCGAAGUAGCAGGAUCGCGUACCAUGGUUGUCAGGUUGUUUUUGACUGCUUAGGUCUCGUAUGUAAUUUCGCACCAGUAGAUCAUAAAGUUGUAAGAGAAAUUUUAGGCACUUUGCAAUGUUGUGGCAGUUGAUCAUAAACUUAUGGGAUAUUUGUUCCCUUCAAUGGUAGAAUUUUGGAGUUAUGAGCGUUAUCGGUGCUUUUAGCCUGCUGUAUGCCUGUAUCUGAAUUUAGGUUUCAGAAGUCUGUAAUCGGAUGAGAACUAGAAUAUGAGUGCCAUGUUGUUUCUGUAUGUUCGGGUGCCCAUCUGAUGAUUGGAGUAAGUGGGCAUGUACUGAUGCAAUGAUAGGACCUGGAAGCGUUGUGUGCACCUAUUGGUUUGAACACGAUUUAUCCGCCUUCUUUGUGGAACGAUAACUAGUUUUGUUGAUCGAAUAUAUGCAUCCACCUUCCUAUUUUUCUCCUGACUCAUUCUCAGAAUAGCCUGCAAGGACUUUCGGAGUCAUGUUACUGUUUCUACCUGCUGUGUUGCAUUUAGACACUGGAAAUCUGUGUUCGCAUCUCCAAAUUAGCAGGGCAGCAUACCAUGGUUUUCCUGAUUGGUCAUGACUGCUUAGGUCUUGCAUGUAGUGCUGCGCCAGUAGAUCAUAAACUUAUAAGAGACAUUUUAGGCACUUUGUAAUGCUGUGGCAGUUGAUCAUAAACUUAUAAGGAAGCAUAGCAUACAUGAUCACCGGUAUGAAGGAUAGAUUCAUAUGAUAAAUUGAUGACCUCUCAGUGUGUAUAUUCAGUGGCUCAAAAUUUGAGCCUUUCCUGUCUGACAAAGGUCCCAAGUUAUGUCUAUUGCACACAUUUCAGCUGCUGGUAGAAUUUAAAUAGAUUCUUUUAACUUUCAGCGUUACAACAGAGAUUCAAUCUAUGGUACAGGACACCAAGACAGUUUGAGAAGGAAAGAUUUUUUUCUCAAAGUUUGAAGUUGAAAAGGAGAAGCUGAUAGUUCAGUAUGAGCUGCAAAGUAAGUAGAUGGUUACACUACUUAUGUACUCCCCUGUUCGGCUGUUCCUAAAUAUAAGACGUUUGGCAGUUCGAUUUAAACUGCCAAAACGUCUUAUAUUUAGAAACGGAGGUAGUAGGAAAGAUGUUUGCUGUAGUAGCUUGUCUUUUGAACAGUUCUUAUGUGUGGAAGAUUCUUUGCUCUUGCACAAAUACUAUCACUUAAACAGGGUAGAAGGAAGAGACUAGUAUUUCUGAUGUUGAGAAAAGAGUUACAGAGAAGCUAGCAGAUGCAGAAGAAUCUCUGAAGAAGUUGAAUCAGGGUAGGGUGACAGAUCCAUCAUCAAGCUUCGCAAGUCCUUUGCCUCGUUCCUGGGCCCCCGAUGACGAGGAGGACUGAUACGGCUCUUGCCAGAUGGUCCGUGUUUCAGAUCAAAGUGGAUAGUGGUAUAUGGUUGUGAAGAAGAGAGAUGAUACACAUGCACAGCACAGGGGAAAGAGAGAGUAGAUUCUGUAGGAUUUCUACAGCUUCUUCACCCGCAGUACGGUUUCGGUAUUCCGGUCAUGAUCAAACCUCACUUUUCCUGCUCUUACUUAUAUUCAGCAUCCAUUGCUGAACUUCUGGCCGACCUCUGCUGAAGUUUUCCAACAUGUAAAUUCUCUAGCAGCCUUCCCCAUAUGUCUGGACUCUGGACCAACAACAUUCAGUAACAAACAUAUAGUGCUACAUAUACAUAUACUGUAUCAAGCAAUUAUUAUAUAAUCUUGGCAUGGAUGUAUGUUUCCAAGGAAAAAUAGAAAAGUUUACAUCUAUUGCAAGGUUUAUCA